rnacentral:rRNA from 1 species
GACGAACGCUGGCGGCGUGCUUAACACAUGCAAGUCGAACGAUGAAGCUGGAGCUUGCUCCGGUGGAUUAGUGGCGAACGGGUGAGUAACACGUGAGCAAUCUGCCCUUGACUCUGGAUAACUGCGGGAAACUGUAGCUAAUACCGGAUACGAGGCUCGAAGGCAUCUUCGGGUCUGAAAAGAAUUUCGGUCAAGGAUGAGCUCGCGGCCUAUCAGCUUGUUGGUGAGGUAAUGGCUCACCAAGGCGACGACGGGUAGCCGGCCUGAGAGGGUGACCGGCCACACUGGGACGGAGACACGGCCCAGACUCCUACGGGAGGCAGCAGUGGGGAAUAUUGCACAAUGGGCGAAAGCCUGAUGCAGCAACGCCGCGUGAGGGAUGAAGGCCUUCGGGUUGUAAACCUCUUUUAGCAGGGAAGAAGCGAAAGUGACGGUACCUGCAGAAAAAGCACCGGCUAACUACGUGCCAGCCGCCGCCGUAA